CGGGUGAGCCCAAUUUCCACCGGGAAUACCGCCCGAGCUUUAGACACCGGGGAGCACUCCCCGUCUCUCGUCUCGCAAUCUUCGACUCGCGGAGUCGAACAGAAGAGCACCGCCGUCGCCGCCUGCCGACCUACUCCGACGACCUCGCGCCUGUAGCGUCUCCUCCACAGGCUUCUCUACAACGACUUCUUCCUUCGCAUCAGGUGGAUCCCCCUCCCCACCCCCUCUCCUGUGCUCCCGCUAGGGUUGUUUCUCCUCUCUUCUCCCCACACCUUUUUCUUGUAGAUCCUGUUGAAGCAGAGCAAGCUAGACCCGGACCUUGGCUGCUGAAUGCAGUGAGCGGAUCACAUGCUCCUCUUCCUCUCCCUGGCCCUUCCUAGGUCGUCCUCUUGUUCUAGAUAAUAAAAGCAAGCGGAUCCAGCUUCUUGCAUCAAUUUUAGAUUUUUUUCUCUACUAGUUUAUCAUCAUUCUUUUUUUGUGGAUUUAUGCUGCUUCAUACUGUCAACCGCAGACAAUAGUUCACCGAUUAUAGCGUGUUUCAAUUUUGUCAUCGGAUUAUUAUUGUGAUACUUCCUGGUUCCUACCUAGUUCCUGUCUUUAUUAUAUCAAGAGGCCCAGAAUAUUAUCCUUUUCCCUGCCUCAUGAGUAUAGUUGGUGGCAUCCUUGCUCUGAAACAUAAGUGCUUACGACAGUGGAGACAUCAUAUCCAAAAAAAAUAUUGAGUCCUUUUUUUUAUAGAGUCAAUUGCUUAGCGUUUCACAUUUUAUUUGGCAAUUGCCGCUGUGUAGAUGUCAAUGGGUCCACAUGUUAGUGUGCAUGACAAAAUAAUCUUGUCGAGUGUUUUCCUAUUGUUUCUAGCGCUGGCUUGAGAAUUUGACCAAUGUUAUUUUACUGAGCUGAACAUUUCUUCCCGUCAGUUUUCUCUCAGAUAGUUAGAUACUAUAAAAGGAGCAUGAUUAUUAUAUAUAGCAGUAAUUAUUUUUAAGUUUAUGAAUUAUUUUGUAUCUGCAUUUUUUGUUGUUGCUUGUCAUAUGACAGACUUUGGCUCAUAUAAGUUCACAUUUGAUAGUACAGUUUGAAUUAUCAUACAAAUCCUGAUGUUCGACUAAUUUGGCUAAAAAAAAUCAGAGCACUUGGUGGAAGAAAUACAUAGAAGCUAAAAUAAUUUUUGUGAUAGGAAUGGCGCAAGUGCGGCUUACAGUUUAUUAUUGUGUUGCUGUGAAUUAAACACACAAGUAGCUCACAUGUUGCUUCUGCUUUUAUUGAUCCACGUGAUUUUUCUUUGGUUUUCCUGGAAGAAACUACUACCUAGCUAGUAAUUUAUCUCCAUGGUAUGUAAUUCACUAUUUGGUCAAAGUAGUUUGUAAUAUAGGAUUUGCAUGGUGUGAAUCAUUUUGGCCAUGUCUUGUCGUCAGGAUUACGUUGAUGCUAGUCGAGAUGGAUUAAGCUUAUAUGGAAUAUGCUUGUUACCCCAAGGACCAUACCGUAACAAUUCUGCUAUUUUGGAUGAUAUCUUCAUAAUAUAUAGAUUAAGCUUGUAUGGACUAUUAUAACUUCUCGCACUUUGUAUUUUGUAUUCGCUUAUCUUUAGAUAAAAUAUUGCUUACAUGGACUAGUAAAACCAUAAUGCCUACUGCUUCUCUAUUGCAAUACACCAAUGAAUAUAAAGCAUGCAAGUGCCGACAGACAGGUGAUUUAAGCAGCUUCCAAACGGCGGCAGGGUAAUCUCCCCUGCAGGGAGUAUUGUCCCUAUGGAUGGAGGGGGAUCCCGUCGUCGAAGGAAAUUCCCGUGAAGGGCUAUCUUCCCUGGUUUAAUUAUCACCCGCCGCCAAACUAGCCCUGAAAGGCCGGCAGGCGUCGCGGCCAGACGACACGCCGACGAUUUCUCAUCAGCCAGAUGGUGUGAUCUGACAUUUUUCAGUCUAUUUUCACUGAAAAACCAAUGCACUACAAAGCAAAAGGUAUGCCAUCUCACACUUGGGCGUGUUUGUUUGGUUUUUUUUUCUCUCCCUCCCAUUUUUGGCGUUGCUGCUUUGCUCAGGUUACGGCGAAAAUAGCCGGCCAAACACGUGCGUGGCAUUGGCUGCGCCGUUCCGGCGAUCGCCGGAGCUCCGGCUGUCGGGAUUACCAACACGGUGUCGGGUCGCGGACGGGCAGGCGGCGUGUGGCUGCACGCCGGCUCCAUGUGGCCGGUGAUGUCAAGUUGACUGCCAAUAGUUGAAGGAAUUCUCGCUAACCCGUUCAUGGCUGUCAGUGUCAACUGUUUUGGUUUUCGAAUGGAUGCCAGUACUAAAUCAUGAUUGCGUCUUCAUCAUAAUUAAAAAAAACAAAGAGUGUCCGUGCCCCUAGCGAGUCUCAUGGUUUUUUUUUAAAAAAAAAAAGAAGAAAAAAGUGACCCUUUUUUUUGGCAUCUCACAAAACCAGUGUAGUAGUGCAAGACAAAAAGUUUGCCAUCUCACACACACUUGUGUCCGUUUCCCUUUUUUUGGCAUUUGCUUCGCUCGGUCAAACAUGUGCGCGGCCGCGCUGCUCCGGGCGAGCCCCGUCGCCGGGGCCACCGGCAGGGUCGGAUCGCGGAAACGGUCAAGCCUGCCCGUCGCCGCCGGCGUGUGGCUGGACGCCGGCUCCAUGCCAGGUUGCUCCACCUGCCGCUACGGUCACGUCUCGCGUGGCGUGCUCGCACUCGCAUCCAGAUCCGCGGCCAGGCAAGCUCCGCGCCUCCGCCUCCGCCUCCGCCCCCGCCCACCGCCACCGGGCCCGAUCGUCGCCGGCGGCCGCCCGGCUCAGCGGGCGGCCGCGGCCACAUUUUGCACACCAUGCCCUCUGCAGGCAGCAGCGAGCAGCAGCAGCGAGCAGCCGAAACUGCUGCCUUUGCCUCGGCCCUGAUGGCCUGAUCUGAUGCCAGCAACGAUCGGCGUUCUGCGGCUGCUCCUGAUUGAGGCCAGCACCGUAGGGUCUGUCCAUUAGGAGGUCCACAGAUUUCACUGCGCAGCAGGUUUUGGUGCCCAUCUUUGCUACUCGUAGUUUGUUUGCUUCAGUCAGGACAAUCACCACUGGACAGUGGGCACUGGUUCAAGUAAUCAAGUUGGCUACUUGUGGAAACAUGCAAAGAUCCAGCCUGUGCCCUCUGUUGCCAAUUGCAGUAUCAACUGUUUACCUUUCAGCCUUUCACAGUGGCCAGAGGCCAUAUGAAUCUUUUUUUACCUUUUUUUUAUACCUUUGUUGGAGUAGUUACAUAGUUCCAUAAUCCUAAUAACAAAAUAAUCCGCACCAAGGAUACUACAUCAGGUGGGUUUAUACUAGCCAUAAAUUUUACACAGCUAAUUGAUGGUUUUUUUUGGAGAUUCUGUUGCAACGAAAAUUGCAAACUCGUGUGCUAUUUGUGGAGAAUCAUAGGCACGUAAACUCUAUUGCUGCCAUCUGAGAAGGCGCCGCAGCUGUGGGCGCCCCAGCCGCCGUAGGUGUCGAUGAUGAUCUUGCGACGCGGAUGGCAGGCGAGUGUAUAUGGCCAAGUGCAAGUGGGCCGACUGCACUAGGCCCCAAAUGACCAAAAAAUGAUUGUUGUCUUCCAAAUCUAUUGGUAGUUCGUCAGGCCGUGCGUUUUGUGUUUCUCUCGUGCGCUUGUGUUUCUCUCAAGCAACGCACUAUCAAAAAA